rnacentral:rRNA from 1 species
GACGAACCGUGCGAACGUUGUUCGGAAUCACUGGGCUUAAAGGGCGCGUAGGCGGCUCGGUAAGUCGGGGGUGAAAUCCUGCGGCUUAACCGCAGGGCUGCCUUCUAAACUGUCGAGCUCGAGCACGGUAGAGGCAGAUGGAAUUCCCGGUGUAGCGGUGGAAUGCGUAGAGAUCGGGAAGAACAUCAGUGGCGAAGGCGGUCUGCUGGGCCGUUGCUGACGCUGAGGCGCGACAGCGUGGGGAGCAAACAGG